GACGAACGCUGGCGGCGUGCUUAACACAUGCAAGUCGAACGGAAAGGCCCUGCUUGCAGGGUACUCGAGUGGCGAACGGGUGAGUAACACGUGGGUGAUCUGCCCUGCACUUCGGGAUAAGCCUGGGAAACUGGGUCUAAUACGGGAUAGGAGCCAUUUUUAGUGUGAGGGUGGGAAAGUUUUUUCGGUGUAGGAUGAGCUCGCGGCCUAUCAGCUUGUUGGUGGGGUAAUGGCCUACCAAGGCGGCGACGGGUAGCCGGCCUGAGAGGGUGGACGGCCACAUUGGGACUGAGAUACGGCCCAGACUCCUACGGGAGGCAGCAGUAGGGAAUAUUGCACAAUGGGCGCAAGCCUGAUGCAGCGACGCCGCGUGGGGGAUGACGGCCUUCGGGUUGUAAACUCCUUUCGCUAGGGACGAAGCUUUUUGUGACGGUACCUAGAUAAGAAGCACCGGCUAACUACGUG
rnacentral:rRNA from 1 species